AUUGAACGCUGGCGGCAGGCCUAACACAUGCAAGUCGAACGAGUGGCGGACGGGUGAGUAAUGUCUGGGAAACUGCCUGAUGGAGGGGGAUAACUACUGGAAACGGUAGCUAAUACCGCAUACCCUCAGAUGUGCCCAGAUGGGCUUAUCUUGUUGGUGGGGUAACGGCUCACCAAGGCGACUAUCCCUAGCUGGUCUGAGAGGAUGACCGGCCAAACGUGAAUGGAGACACGGUCCAGCCUCCUACGGGAGGCAGCAGGGGGGAAGAUUGCACAAUGGGCGCAAGCCUGAUGCAGCCAUGCCGCGUGUAUGAAGAAGGCCUUCGGGUUGUAAAGUACGGUCAGCGGGGAGGCGUGACCCGCAGAAGAAGCACCGGCUAACUCCGUGCCAGCAGCCGCGGUAAUUC
rnacentral:rRNA from 1 species